GUUUAAAUCCAGCAAUAUCAUGUUGGGCAAGUGUGUCUCCACAUAUGGCGAUCACAGCACCAAACAACUCAAUUUCACCAUUUGGGGUGUCAAUCCUAACACCAUUGUACAGAAGUGUCAGAUCUUUUUGGAUUCUUUUUAGUAUAACAUCAACACCCCACUGAGAAAUAUUGUUUGCCUUGGCAAUAGCCAGGAGUCUUAUUGCAGCCAACUUCGACCUAAAUUUUGGAUCUAUAUUCCCUAAACUAUAAUAAAACAUCAGUAAUUUAUUUGCAGAGGCAUGGGUGCCUAAAGGGUUACAUAUUUCAAUUUCAUCGGUGUACAAUAGUAUUUGCAAUGCAUUUGGCCUUUGAGAAUAUAAUGGAUGGGAUGUAAAAAGGGCUCCAUCAGUAAAAUCAUACAAGAAUCCCUCACUUCUUUGUGGUACAGUGGUUAACAUGGUGAAGAUUCUGGGAUUGGUCAGUAACUGCUUAAGACUUUGAAUGAGUGGUACAUAGUAAAAACUUUUGCCUCUUAAGGCCAUGACCCUUGAUAGACCACGCUUUACCCAACAAAUCUUCUGGGACACCACAACUUCCUCUGGGUUGACUGGAUUGAAUAGUUCCCGGAUGGUUUUAUUCUGUCCAUAUGCUGUGGUUGAGAAAGGAUCCAUGAACGCAUCAAACGUAGCCAAAGCCUCCCCUUGGAGCUGAGCAGUUGUGUCUGGAUUCUCUUCAAACACCCUUCUGAUUCUCUCCCUUAGUGUGUCAAUGAGAGCAGCUUGGUACUGUUGCACCCCUGAGAUGACACUGUUGACAGUUCUCUGGGAAAAUAUUUAAAAUGUAAAUAAUUUUGUCACCCAUAUAAUUCACAAGCCCAUAUUUUACAUUAGAAUAAUUUAAAUUAAUAGUACCAUUAAAGCAUUUGCCCAUGAAGAUAAAUUUACCUGUGAUAACUGGCACUGUUCCCGGACACUGAUGGCGAAUGCCGCUGCGGAUCUAGCUAUAUCAGGUCUGGUUCUGGAGGUCACAGCAACAGCGUCUUCCUUUAUAAAAUGAGUUGUAAUUUUUUAAGAGCGAGUAGAUGGACACAGUCAAAGUUGCAAUUGAUUUGAAAGGAAAUGGACAUUUUUGAGGAGAUGCCCGAGAGGGGAAAGACUUCAUUUUAAUCCCGUAUUCGCUUCACUGGUCUGGAACCUGAGCAGCUCUAUCGUCUAAGGUAAGAGGAAUUAAAUGUUUUUUUUAAUGUUUAAUCUUAGCAUUCAAUGGAGAUAAUACCUAUGAAAGAGAAAGUGUGCAUAGGCUACUCAAAUCAUGCAUGAUUAACGCGCACACUCGCAGUGUGGAUUCAAUGAGGCCCAUAUUUAAAUAUAUCGUUAUAUGUAGGACAAAAAUAUUAAAUUACAUAACAAGUCAGCAUCACACAGAGAGCAACCUAAUUGGCACGAUAAGAUUGAAAAUAAAUUGAAUUGUGGAAACUUACGGACUCAAGGCGGCCGUCAGCUUCAGGCUGUGGUGACGGUUCAGGUAAAGAGGCAUCAGGUGGGACAGCCGUAGUGCUGGCCGCUGCAGGAGUGCUACAGCUGGCAAACACCGAAACACCAAAUGUUUCCUGUCCCAAAGACCGAGAAGGCGUCGUACUCCAUCCGCUUGGUGGGCAUCCAGUCCUCAAAUACUGAAGUUCUACGAUACCGCCUGUUAAUGCUUCAGGGAGCUGAUGAAUCUAAGAUGGAUACUUUUGACGAUGCCACUCUAUCGGUGUUGGAGGCUGCCAGUGUUGAUGAGGAGGCUUUGAAAGGCCUUAGCCGGGAUGACCUGAGGGAUCUUUUUCCUGGCCCAGAGAAUUUCCUCAAAAGAAAGAAACUUUGGAAUUUCAUCAGUGAAAAUUGUGAAAAUACCACGGACCAAGAUGCCAACAAUUGUGCCAUGCCACCAUGCCAGCCUCAAACCUCAACCCCCAUAUCUGCUGAGAAAAAAAUGAAAAUGCCAGACCCUCCAGAGUAUGUGGUGUACACAGAUUCAGAGUUAGACAUGGUGCGUAGUCAAUACUUUGCACUGCUCUGCAAUGGAAAGGAAAAAAAUUACAAACUGUCCAAGGAGCUAUGUUGCAGACUUGUAAGGAACACAAUAACCAGUAUGGUUGCUAUCCUGCGUGCUAGUCCCAUGGGGAAAGAAGUCAGUUACCCGUCAAAAUUGGAAAUAAGAGCCAUGUCACAGAAGAUUAUAGACUAUUACCCAAUGUUACGGGAUGAUGAUCCAAACAUGCCUUAUCUGACUAUCUACACCAAAAUGUACAAGCGACUCCAAAAUAUGAGAUCCCCACGGAAGAGGCAAGGCUCUGUACCACAAAGAGGAGCGGCAAAGACAGCUCUCUUCAGUGCAGACAACCAAGACAUGGAGACGGAUUGGACAGACACAAGCAACUCAAGUGAUAAUACCUUACUUCUUGAGAGCAAUGAUGACCUUACCGAGGACAACUCCAGUGAAGCAUUCCCAGCACAUCGACCCCCCUCUGUGCCAAGGAAGCCAAAGACCAAAACCUUCCUGCUGCCAUCCGCAUCAGCCUCAGGCUCCUCACUCAGGACUGUGAUCGCUUCACCAACCACGCCUGCAAAGGAUGAUGUUGGUAAGCCCACCUCAGCACACCUCUCAGCCUGUUAUCCAUGAUAAUGACUUUCAGAGUGGCAAAUCAGAGUCUAAACGGUUGGAGAUUAAAUUCAAAUUUCCUUAGUUUGUGGAUGUUAAUGGAAACUCUUUUUCCA
ensembl:lncRNA